CUCUGCAUGUAGCUCAGUUGGUUAGAGUGCUGGACCGGAAUUGCAGAGCCACUGGUUCAAUUCCUGUCAGAGG